rnacentral:rRNA from 1 species
AUUGAUUUUAUGCUUGCAUAAAUGAUUUUUUGGAUUCGGAGCGAGUGGCGGACUGGUGAGUAACACGUGGGUAACCUGCCCCGAAGCGGGGGAUAACACUUGGAAACAAGUGCUAAUACCGCAUAAUUAGUUGGAACCGCAUGGUUCCAACUUGAAAGAUGGCUCUGCUAUCACUUUGGGAUGGACCCGCGCCGUAUUAGUUAGUUGGUGAGAUAAAAGCCCACCAAGACGAUGAUACGUAGCCGACCUGAGAGGGUAAUCGGCCACAUUGGGACUGAGACACGGCCCAGACUCCUACGGGAGGCAGCAGUAGGGAAUCUUCCACAAUGGACGAAAGUCUGAUGGAGCAACGCCGCGUGAGUGAUGAAGGUUUUCGGAUCGUAAAACUCUGUUGUUAAAGAAGAACAAGUGUUAGAGUAACUGUUAACACUUUGACGGUAUUUAACCAGAAAGCCACGGCUAACUACGUGCCAGCAGCCGCGGUAAUACGUAGGUGGCAAGCGUUGUCCGGAUUUAUUGGGCGUAAAGCGAGCGCAGGCGGUUUUGUAAGUCUGCUGUGAAAGCCCUCAGCUCAACUGAGGAAGUGCAGUGGAAACUACAAAACUUGAGUACAGAAGAGGAAAGUGGAACUCCAUGUGUAGCGGUGAAAUGCGUAGAUAUAUGGAAGAACACCAGUGGCGAAGGCGGCUUUCUGGUCUGUUACUGACGCUGAGGCUCGAAAGCAUGGGUAGCGAACAGGAUUAGAUACCCUGGUAGUCCAUGCCGUAAACGAUGAAUACUAGGUGUUGGAGGGUUUCCGCCCUUCAGUGCCGCAGCUAACGCAUUAAGUAUUCCGCCUGGGGAGUACGACCGCAAGGUUGAAACUCAAAGGAAUUGACGGGGGCCCGCACAAGUGGUGGAGCAUGUGGUUUAAUUCGAUGCUACGCGAAGAACCUUACCAGCUCUUGACAUCUUCUGCCAACCCAAGAGAUUGGGCGUUCCCUUCGGGGACAGAAUGACAGGUGGUGCAUGGUUGUCGUCAGCUCGUGUCGUGAGAUGUUGGGUUAAGUCCCGCAACGGGCGCAACCCUUAUUAUUAGUUGCCAGCAUUUAGUUGGGCACUCUAGUGAGACUGCCGGUGAUAAA